GACGUAGGGCGCGAGCGUUGUCCGGAUUUAUUGGGCGUAAAGAGCUCGUAGGCGGCUCGUUGCGUCAACCGUGAAAGCCCGGGGCUUAACCCCGGGUCUGCAUCCGAUACGGGCAGGCUAGAGUGUGGUAGGGGAGAUCGGAAUUCCUGGUGUAGCGGUGAAAUGCGCAGAUAUCAGGAGGAACACCGGUGGCGAAGGCGGAUCUCUGGGCCAUUACUGACGCUGAGGAGCGAAAGCGUGGGGAGCGAACAGG
rnacentral:rRNA from 1 species